rnacentral:rRNA from 1 species
AAGACCUCAAAUCAGGUGGAAUUACCUGCUGAACUUAAGCAUAUCAAUAAGCAGAGGAAAAGAAACUAACAAGGAUUCCCCUAGUAAUGGCGAAUGAAGAGGGAAAAGCCCAAAUUGGUAAUCUGA